CAUCACUGAUCGAUGGAUCU
rnacentral:snRNA from 1 species